GAUGAACGCUGGCGGCGUGCCUAAUACAUGCAAGUCGAGCGAACAGACGAGGAGCUUGCUCCUCUGACGUUAGCGGCGGACGGGUGAGUAACACGUGGAUAACCUACCUAUAAGACUGGGAUAACUUCGGGAAACCGGAGCUAAUACCGGAUAAUAUAUUGAACCGCAUGGUUCAAUAGUGAAAGACGGUUUUGCUGUCACUUAUAGAUGGAUCCGCGCCGCAUUAGCUAGUUGGUAAGGUAACGGCUUACCAAGGCAACGAUGCGUAGCCGACCUGAGAGGGUGAUUGGCCACACUGGAACGGAGACACGGUCCAGACUCCUACGGGAGGCAGCAGUAGGGAAUCUGCCGCAAUGGGCGAAAGCCUGACGGAGCAACGCCGCGUGAGUGAUGAAGGUCUUCGGAUCGUAAAACUCUGUUAUUAGGGAAGAACAAAUGUGUAAGUAACUAUGCACGUCUUGACGGUACCUAAUCAGAAAGCCACGGCUAACUACGUG
rnacentral:rRNA from 1 species